rnacentral:rRNA from 1 species
ACACUCCUGCGGGAGGCAGCAGUGGGGAAUAUUGGACAAUGGGCGCAAGCCUGAUCCAGCCAUGCCGCGUGAGUGAUGAAGGCCCUAGGGUUGUAAAGCUCUUUCACCGGUGAAGAUAAUGACGGUAACCGGAGAAGAAGCCCCGGCUAACUUCGUGCCAGCAGCCGCGGUAAUACGAAGGGGGCUAGCGUUGUUCGGAUUUACUGGGCGUAAAGCGCACGUAGGCGGACUAUUAAGUCAGGGGUGAAAUCCCGGGGCUCAACCCCGGAACUGCCUUUGAUACUGGUAGUCUUGAGUUCGAGAGAGGUGAGUGGAAUUCCGAGUGUAGAGGUGAAAUUCGUAGAUAUUCGGAGGAACACCAGUGGCGAAGGCGGCUCACUGGCUCGAUACUGACGCUGAGGUGCGAAAGCGUGGGGAGCAAACAGGAUUAGAAACCCCUAGUAGUCCCAUGA